GUGGAGACUGAUGUAUAGGCUACCGCUGUGUCUGUUUGUUAACAUGCAUAGAGCUGGUUUCCCAGAAUCCAUUGAACAUGCUUACUUAGUCCAAGACUAUAUCAGGAAUCAAGGACCUGAGCCCUAGGACCAUGCCUCAGGACUACCUGGCUUGAUGACUCCUUGCUGUCCCCAGUUCACCUGGCCGUGCUGCUGCUCCAUUUCCAACUGUUCUGCCUGCAGCUAUGGAACCCUGAACUAUUCACUGGAUGUGCUACCUGUCCCAGACCUGCUGUUUUCAACUCUCUAGAGACAGCAGGAGCGGUAGAGAUACUCUCAAAGAUCGGCUAUGAAAAAGCCAACUGACACUUACUCUUGUGUCACUGACUUGUUGCACCCUCGACAACUACUAUGAUUAUUAUUAUUUGACCAUGCUGGUCAUUUAUGAACAUUUGAACAUCUAGGCUAUGUGCUGUUAUAAUCUCCACCCGGCACAGCCAGAAGAGGACUGGCCACCCCUCAUAGCCUGGUUCCUCUCUAGGUUUCUUCCUGGGUUUUGGCCUUUCUAGGGAGUUUUUCCUAGCCACCGUGCUUCUACACCUGCAUUGCUUGCUGUUUGGGGUUUUAGGCUGGGUUUCUGUACAGCGCUUUGAGAUAUCAGCUGAUGUAAGAAGGGCUAUAUAAAUAAAUUUGAUUUGAUGAUUCUGUCAUCAUGAAGUUCUUUGAGAGACUAGUCAUGGACCAUAUCACCUCCACCCUACCUGAUAACCUAGACCCAAUCUAAU
rnacentral:lncRNA from 1 species